rnacentral:rRNA from 1 species
UCCGUAGGCGGUCUUAUAAGUCAGUGGUGAAAGCCCAUCGCUCAACGAUGGAACUGCCAUUGAUACUGUAAGACUUGAAUUUUUGUGAAGUAACUAGAAUAUGUAGUGUAGCGGUGAAAUGCUUAGAUAUUACAUGGAAUACCAAUUGCGAAGGCAAGGUACUACCAACAGAUUGACGCUGAUGGACGAAAGCGUGGGGAGCAAACAGGAUUAGAUACCCCCGUA